rnacentral:lncRNA from 1 species
UGGAAGGAACUUUUGCUUGGACAGCGUACGUAAGCACAGUGCAGCAUAAUUUUGACUGAGCACCUUCGGCUCUUUUAGCAACGUCGACUUGAUCAAUCUUGCUGCAAACGAUCGUGCUUUCCCUUUGGAUGGUGCGGCCGGCUGCAAAUGAUCGUGUCUGGGGGUUUGGCAGUUGGCACUGCCUGCUAGUAGCCUCCUCCUAGCUUCCCUUUCCAUUCAUACGGAGACAUAUGUACGUGACGAAUGUAAACAGCGAUCGACGUACUCCUACAUCACAGCAUCCCGACAAGGCUACAAGAAACAUUGCCAAAAUGUCACGUGUGAGAUUUCCGUAAAAUUCUUGUCUCAUCUAGUCGCCUAGGAACAAAUUCAACUAUUGUUUUCCCCUAGGAGGCUCGAGCUAGCAGUCUAAUCUCGACAUCAACAGGUAGUAUGGAGGUAGGUUGUUUUGUUUAGUGAAGGAUAUGAUAAGAUGCGCUUUAUUAGGCAAUGAUAGCGCAUCCAAUCCACUCAUGCGCCAAGUUCCGCGUGGACCGAACGAGGGUUUGAUGGUUGAUCGAGUGUAAAACAUCACUGGGUAUUCCCUCCAAAACUGCGGGUCGUCGUGUUCUUCACAGGGACUAGGCGAUCUACAAUUGAGUUAGGACUAAAGCUAGGUGAAUCAAUCAUAAAGGGUAAUAUUUGAACCAAAAAUAAAGACAACAAUGCAGCAAUGAACAAUAUUUUUGUGAUUUUCGUUAAUAGAAGUAGCAGUGGACAGAAAUUAAUUACUAGGCACCCAAAUUAAUCACAAGCAAACAUAUAAGAAAGAAGAAGCAAGUUGUUUGGGAAAGGGAUAUAGUACAUAACAUGGCAGCACACACAUAUAUAUUAUGACAGAAGAUUAAACCACACUCACUUGUACAAAGCAUAAACAGAUCUCAGAACAAGUACAAUUAUGUAGUCACAAUCUCAGGUGAUGAUGCAAUAGCUCACACAAAUCCAUCACAAUUCAAGAACUAGACAAGAUUAGCAGAGGAGAAGACAUGGAUAGAAUGAAAUUUGUUCCUAAUCCAUGUGAGCAUUACAACGAACACUUUGCAAUCGGAAUCAAGUUCUCCACGCAAUUCACAGAAACAACAAGGAAAGAAGGAGAAAAGGGAGGGAUUAGAUGGGGAUUAACCCAAGGUGAAGGAGCAGCACAAGUUGGAGAAGGGGAAGAAACUUAGGUUGUUCUUCGUGCUCGCCGGAGUCACUUGUUCUUCGCCGGAGAAGGGAAGAAGCUCAGCAGCUUGGCGAAUCAUGGAGGAGCUGCAGCUUGCUGUUGAUGUAGACGAGGAGAUGGGCUGCAGCUGCUGCCCUGCGACGUGGAGGAGAGGCAGCAGCAGGUCGGGGGCACGGGGCAGCAGCAAACUUGGUGGCACGGCGCGUCGCCGGCCUGGCCGCCGCGGCGGCCGCUGGUGGAGCAGCAGCAGGGAGAGGGAGGGGAAGUAUGGCAGGCCUGAGGCUUCGUACGUGAAUAGUUAGGGAUUUCAAUCCCCACUCCUCUGGC